GACACUAUAGCCAAGUGGUUACGGCGACAGAUUCGAAUUUAUAAGUACUUAUCUGUUUCCCUCUGGGAGCGCAGGUUCAAAUCCUGCUGGUGUCG